CGCUGUUCUAAGAGGCUGUGCCGCUUUCAGGGGUGGGAUCUAGGCUGGCGGAAGUUGGAAAGCAGAAGGACUUGGAGAGUCGUUCCUGGACCUACUUCCACUUUCAUACCUGGCUUCAUGGUCAACCGUAAUAUAUCAUCAGAGACAGACACAGAAGAAGCUUUUAACAGAUGCUUAUUGGAAGAGAGAAAAAAAUGAAGAAACAAAAGUUCUGUCACGUUUUUCAAGCAUGAUGCCGCGUGUAAUCCCAGCUUCCAUUUCUCUCUUCUUGGAUGUGGAUAACAAGAGCCUCAGCUGGUAACAAAGAAAAACCCAGGAACAGCUGAACUGCCAGAGGCUGACCCCACCAACCCCCACCACGGUCAUUCCCUGAACCAAGUCUGAGAUGCUGGCGACCCAGUGGCUGACACUUGUCCUCGGGGUUUCAGAAACAGUUUCACAACAUGCUACCUUACCCUAGGAAGGAAGCAGCAUUCAUUGCUUUCAUUCCUUCGUGGGGCUCUUAGCUGCUCUUUUCUUUGAUCAGCUGGUACAGGAAAUAGUGUACGGUUUCUUAGGCACAGCCAACUCUCUCUCGCCACACCCAGACAAUGUUCUAAAGUUUUUAUUGGAUCUGAGUGUGCCAACCUUGUGCUGUGGAAUUAAGCGAGGGUUGCUAAAUAUCAUUCAUCUUGCAACAUCAGAUGUCAUUCUCUGUGUAUGUGUCCUGUCUCCCUAGACUAUGAGCAGGGGAGACAGGGUCUCUGUGUUAAUGACGACAGUGACAUCUUCAGAAAUAAUAAUGGAUAAGUUAAUCUUAGCUGCUCCUAACAUAUGCU
ensembl:lncRNA LOC108352565 uncharacterized LOC108352565